ACGUAGGGUGCGAGCGUUAAUCGGAAUUACUGGGCGUAAAGCGUGCGCAGGCGGUUUCACAAGCUAGAUGUGAAAUCCCCGGGCUUAACCUGGGAAUGGCAUUUGGGACUGCAAGGCUUGAGUUUGGCAGAGGAGACUGGAAUUCCUGGUGUAGCAGUGUAAUGCGUAGAUAUCAGGAGGAAUACCGAUGGCGAAGGCAGGUCUCUGGGCUGAAACUGACGCUCAUGCACGAAAGCGUGGGGAGCAAACAGGA
rnacentral:rRNA from 1 species